rnacentral:rRNA from 1 species
GACGAACGCUGGCGGCGUGCCUAAUACAUGCAGGUUGAGCGCUGAAGGUUGGUACUUGUACCAACUGGAUGAGCAGCGAACGGGUGAGUAACGCGUGGGGAAUCUGCCUUUGAGCGGGGGACAACAUUUGGAAACGAAUGCUAAUACCGCAUAAAAACUUUAAACACAAGUUUUAAGUUUGAAAGAUGCAAUUGCAUCACUCAAAGAUGAUCCCGCGUUGUAUUAGCUAGUUGGUGAGGUAAAGGCUCACCAAGGCGAUGAUACAUAGCCGACCUGAGAGGGUGAUCGGCCACAUUGGGACUGAGACACGGCCCAAACUCCUACGGGAGGCAGCAGUAGGGAAUCUUCGGCAAUGGACGAAAGUCUGACCGAGCAACGCCGCGUGAGUGAAGAAGGUUUUCGGAUCGUAAAACUCUGCUGGUAGAGAAGAACGUUGGUGAGAGUGGAAAGCUCAUCAAGUGACGGUAACUACCCAGAAAGGGACGGCUAACUACGUG